UACGAAGGGGGCUAGCGUUGUUCGGAAUUACUGGGCGUAAAGCGUGCGCAGGCGGUUUCUCAAGUCAGGGGUGGAAGCCCGGAGCUCAACUCCGGAAUUGCCUUUGAAACUGUGAAGCUCGAGGGCGGGAGAGGUGAGUGGAAUUCCCAGUGUAGAGGUGAAAUUCGUAGAUAUUGGGAAGAACACCGGUGGCGAAGGCGGCUCACUGGCCCGUUUCUGACGCUCAUGCACGACAGCGUGGGGAGCAAACCGG
rnacentral:rRNA from 1 species